GGCCUUUUGGGAGCUCACUGGCUUCGGGUUCCAUUGGAACUCCGAAGUUAAGCGAGUAGCGCGCGAGAGCAAUCCCAUGAUGGGUGACCCACUGGGAAGUUCCCGUGUGAGUUCCCAGAAACAAAACCGUGAAGGCGUAGUCGGGGCCCAAAGCGGACAAUAUCGUGCUACGGUGGUGGAAUGGGCCCGGGAAGUGGUCCGCCCCGGGCCGGGAUGUGACAAUUUGGUAUCAGAGCCUAACCCUAGCCAUGGUCUUUUGGGAGCUCACUGGCUUCGGGUUCCAUUGGAACUCCGAAGUUAAGCGAGUAGCGCGCAAGAGCAAUCCCAUGAUGGGUGACCCACUGGGAAGUUCUCGUCUGAGU
rnacentral:sRNA from 1 species